rnacentral:rRNA from 1 species
GUACCGCAAACCGACACAGGUAGUCAAGAUGAGAAUUCUAAGGUGAGCGAGCGAACUCUCGUUAAGGAACUCGGCAAAAUGACCCCGUAACUUCGGGAGAAGGGGUGCUCUUUAGGGUUAACGCCCAGAAGAGCCGCAGUGAAUAGGCCCAAGCGACUGUUUAUCAAAAACACAGGUCUCUGCUAAACCGUAAGGUGAUGUAUAGGGGCUGACGCCUGCCCGGUGCUGGAAGGUUAAGAGGAGUGGUUAGCUUCUGCGAAGCUACGAAUCGAAGCCCCAGUAAACGGCGGCCGUAACUAUAACGGUCCUAAGGUAGCGAAAUUCCUUGUCGGGUAAGUUCCGACCCGCACGAAAGGCGUAACGAUUUGGGCACUGUCUCAACGAGAGACUCGGUGAAAUCAUAGUACCUGUGAAGAUGCAGGUUACCCGCGACAGGACGGAAAGACCCCGUGGAGCUUUACUGUAGCCUGAUAUUGAAAUUCGGCACAGCUUGUACAGGAUAGGUAGGAGCCUUUGAAACGUGAGCGCUAGCUUACGUGGAGGCGCUGGUGGGAUACUACCCUAGCUGUGUUGGCUUUCUAACCCGCACCACUUAUCGUGGUGGGAGACAGUGUCAGGCGGGCAGUUUGACUGGGGCGGUCGCCUCCUAAAAGGUAACGGAGGCGCUCAAAGGUUCCCUCAGAAUGGUUGGAAAUCAUUCAUAGAGUGUAAAGGCAUAAGGGAGCUUGACUGCGAGACCUACAAGUCGAGCAGGGUCGAAAGACGGACUUAGUGAUCCGGUGGUUCCGCAUGGAAGGGCCAUCGCUCAACGGAUAAAAGCUACCCCGGGGAUAACAGGCUUAUCUCCCCCAAGAGUUCACAUCGACGGGGAGGUUUGGCACCUCGAUGUCGGCUCAUCGCAUCCUGGGGCUGUAGUCGGUCCCAAGGGUUGGGCUGUUCGCCCAUUAAAGCGGUACGCGAGCUGGGUUCAGAACGUCGUGAGACAGUUCGGUCCCUAUCCGUCGUGGGCGUAGGAAAUUUGAGAGGAGCUGUCCUUAGUACGAGAGGACCGGGAUGGACAUACCUCUGGUGUACCAGUUGUCGUGCCAACGGCAUAGCUGGGUAGCUAUGUGUGGACGGGAUAAGUGCUGAAAGCAUCUAAGCAUGAAGCCCCCCUCAAGAUGAGAUUUCCCAACUUCGGUUAUAAGAUCCCUCAAAGAUGAUGAGGUUAAUAGGUUCGAGGUGGAAGCAUGGUGACAUGUGGAGCUGACGAAUACUAAUCGAUCGAAGACUUAAUCAA